rfam:Chlamydiae bacterium RIFCSPHIGHO2_01_FTLL_44_39 rifcsphigho2_01_scaffold_759, whole genome shotgun sequence.
GAAAUGGCGAUCGGAAAAGGGCACCCACCCAUCCGUACCGAGUCUUGAGUGCAGGGAGGUAACAAACUGAACUAAGCGUAGACAGGAAGAGUGCAGGCCGUAAGCGGAAGCGAGCGAUUGAGCCCUGAAAGAUGUCCAUGUAGGGAAGGCCCAUGACCUAAAAUCAUCAGAAGGCAACACCAUCCAAUUCGAUAAGGGAAGAAAAGGGUGGCAACCCCGGGGUCAAAGAGCA